CCCACAACUAGAGCAUUUGCCCAGGACCCUUCAGUCCACAGGCUGAUGCCUUAACUGCUGAGCCAAACCAGGUAGGGCGGAGAUGUUAGACUUUUUAAAAGGGGAGAGCUGUGAUUGGAGUGAACGUCGCAUUCGUGGAAAUGUGCAAAUAGAGGUUGAAAACCCUUGGUUAUUUAAUUUUAUUCUUACAGAUAAUAUUACUACCCAUAGUUUAUAAAUUAGAAAACUGAGGCAUAGAAAAGUUAAGACUCUAGCCCAAGGUCUAGGCAGAAACCAGGCUGGCGGACUGUGACGGGAAUGAACUAAAGGGAAAGAGCAGAAGGAGCCAUGGAGGAUCCAGACCUGGUUGCUCAGGCAUAACGUGCAGUGGGUCCCGCGCUCAGAGGCAUCUGGGCACCGCCCGCCUCCGCCCCGCCCCUUGCCCUCGGAUUGUCCAAUCGCACAGCCUUCAUGUAAAUAAAGAACCUAGAGAGAGCCUGUGAGAGAGCAGCAGAGGCGUGGUCUUCCCCCCUCCCGGCAAUGUUCUGAUUCAUUGUUAAAAUAAAGAGGCUGUGUGUGACCUCCCUCCCCAACCCUGGCACCCCCUUGUGCGUGGAAACUCGAGCCGAGGUCAGUUCUGCGCAUUGGGAAGGGUGUGGGGGAGGAGGAUAAGCGGGAAAAGGUAGAGGAGUGAGGGAUAUGGGGAGGGACUGGCUGAAUGGGGAAAGGGGUCCAUUCUCCGGGUGGGGCCUCGGUGUCCUCUGCAAGUUUUUCAUUGUUAUAUCCGCAUCUAACUUGCACUUCAGAGAAGAAUUCUGCCAGUUGGUUGCGGGUGGGGAGGAGGAAGCGGGAGCAGUGAGGGAGGACGUGGAGUAGAGUGCUCUACACCUGCCUCCAGGGAAAUGAGCAGCGGUCUCCAUCCCAGAAGAUACUCCUUUAUGUGGUCAAACUGGGAAAGAACUGCGCCGGCUGGGUGGGACCAAUUCACUCCUGGUCUACCGCUGGGAGCUGGGAGCAGUGAUGCUGGGAGAAGAAAGAGCCCAGCGAGGAUCAGAGACCCCACCAAGGGGUCAGUGGGUGCCCCCUCCUCCCCACAGAUCGUGGCCUGCCGCCUCCCAGGUCUGAUGAUGGAGGAGCCAAGAACCUUCGCCCUGGCUGCCCCAGCAGAGGACAUGGCAUUCCCCAGCUCUGGGGUGAGAUUGGCAAGGAAGGCCUGAUCCCCCGGGAUGCUGUGGAGGAAAUUCUCCAGGGGCAAGCUGGGGCUGGGGUCCAGGUCCUACUAGCCAGUCACCUGGUUCUCGCCUCCCUGCUCCAUUCUUCCCAGGCCUCACCAGUGGAUUGCAGGCCUGACUCACCCAGGAUGGAAGGGGAGGCUGGGAAUGCCCCCAGCGAACACUAUGAGGCCAGUGUGCUUGCCCAGAGCUGCUGUCACCACUGCUUCCACCCCGAGGGGGCCCACAGAGCAAGGCACCAGGAGCCCGGGAGCCCUCCAGGUGCUGAGGCGCCCUACUGUGACCUGCCCCGCCGCCCGGCCGCCGCUGAGGACCCCCCCGGAGCCUCAGCCUCUGGGCGCCCGUCUGGGGCGGGCCUCAGCCUUGAGCCAGAGUCUGAGAGGUGGGUAGAGCUCCAGGGCCUAGGGAGGUGCUCCCUGGGGUAGCCCUCACUUACCCCACCCCACACCCCUUCACCAUGGCAGCGUCCGUCUACAGUGGCCUCUGGCGUGGGUCACAUGCGCACUCCAUACAGCUGGGCACACGGGCAUGUUCCUGGGGCCCUGGCUCAGCUCUGAUCCAGGGUGCAGAGCACCCCCGCACCCACCCUGCUGUGGGCAGGGCUCACAGCCGCUCACAUUUCCU